rnacentral:rRNA from 1 species
UACGUAGGGUGCGAGCGUUGUCCGGAAUUAUUGGGCGUAAAGAGCUCGUAGGCGGUGUGUCACGUCGGCCGUGAAAACCUGCAGCUUAACUGUGGGCGUGCGGUCGAUACGGGCAUCACUGGAGUUCGGCAGGGGAGACUGGAAUUCCUGGUGUAGCGGUGAAAUGCGCAGAUAUCAGGAGGAACACCGGUGGCGAAGGCGGGUCUCUGGGCCGAUACUGACGCUGAGGAGCGAAAGCGCGGGGAGCGAACGGG